rnacentral:rRNA from 1 species
UGGGGAAUAUUGGACAAUGGGGGCAACCCUGAUCCAGCAAUGCCGCGUGUGUGAAGAAGGCCUUCGGGUUGUAAAGCACUUUCAAUAGGGAGGAAAAGCUGUGCGUUAAUAGCGUAUAGCCGUGACGUUACCUAUAGAAGAAGCACCGGCUAACUCCGUGCCAGCAGCCGCGGUAAUACGGAGGGUGCAAGCGUUAAUCGGAAUUACUGGGCGUAAAGCGCGCGUAGGCGGUUUGCUAAGUCAGAUGUGAAAUCCCCGGGCUCAACCUGGGAAUGGCAUUUGAGACUGGUAGGCUAGAAUGUGGUAGAGGUGAGUGGAAUUCCAGGUGUAGCGGUGAAAUGCGUAGAGAUCUGGAGGAACAUCAGUGGCGAAGGCGACUCACUGGGCCAUUAUUGACGCUGAGGUGCGAAAGCGUGGGUAGCAAACAGG